rnacentral:rRNA from 1 species
UACGUAGGGUGCGAGCGUUGUCCGGAAUUAUUGGGCGUAAAGAGCUUGUAGGCGGUUUGUCGCGUCUGCUGUGAAAUCUCAAGGCUCAACCUUGAGCUUGCAGUGGGUACGGGCAGACUAGAGUGUGGUAGGGGAGACUGGAAUUCCUGGUGUAGCGGUGGAAUGCGCAGAUAUCAGGAGGAACACCAAUAGCGAAGGCAGCUCGCUGGGACGGUACUGACGCUAAGGCGCGAAAGCGUGGGGAGCGAACAGG